rnacentral:misc_RNA from 1 species
GGGAGAGUGGGACUCAAACCUAAGUGAGUUAUAUACGACUUCUGCCACUGGAUCAAGCCAAGCUAGGCUUUCAUGGAUAUUCCUUAGUGAAACUCAGAUGUGCAUUAUUUUCUUUGGAUGUGCAUUCAUGAUUGAGAUUCCAGUCUUUAGUCAGAAUCCUUUGCUUUCAUUUUCAUUAGUAAGUGGAGAAGGUCAAAAUUGAACUGAUCCUUGAAAAAUACAUUAUGCAGUAAUCUAUAUUGUUUGAAUCAGUUUAUGAUGAUCUUGUGUUAAUGAUUUUUC